UACGAAGGGGGCUAGCGUUGCUCGGAAUGACUGGGCGUAAAGGGCGCGUAGGCGGAUCGGGCAGUCAGAUGUGAAAUUCCUGGGCUUAACCUGGGGGCUGCAUUUGAUACGUGUGGUCUAGAGUGAGGAAGAGGGUCGUGGAAUUCCCAGUGUAGAGGUGAAAUGCGCAGAUAUCAGGAGGAACACCAAUGGCGAAGGCAGCUCGCUGGGACGGUACUGACACUGAGACGCGAAAGCGUGGGGAGCAAACAGG
rnacentral:rRNA from 1 species